rnacentral:rRNA from 1 species
GAUGAACGCUGGCGGCGUGCCUAAUACAUGCAAGUCGAACGAAACUUCUUUAUCACCGAGUGCUUGCACUCACCGAUAAAGAGUUGAGUGGCGAACGGGUGAGUAACACGUGGGCAACCUGCCCAAAAGAGGGGGAUAACACUUGGAAACAGGUGCUAAUACCGCAUAACCAUAGUUACCGCAUGGUAACUAUGUAAAAGGUGGCUAUACUACCGCUUUUGGAUGGGCCCGCGGCGCAUUAGCUAGUUGGUAGGGUAAAGGCUUACCAAGGCAAUGAUGCGUAGCCGAAUUGAGAGGUUGAUCGGCCACAUUGGGACUGAGACACGGCCCAAACUCCUACGGGAGGCAGCAGUAGGGAAUCUUCCACAAUGGGCGAAAGCCUGAUGGAGCAACGCCGCGUGGGUGAAGAAGGUCUUCGGAUCGUAAACCCCUGUUGUUAGAGAAGAAAGUGCGUGAGAGUAACUGUUCACGUUUCGACGGUAUCUAACCAGAAAGCCACGGCUAACUACGUG